GACGAACGCUGGCGGCGUGCCUAAUACAUGCAAGUCGAACGCAGUGGGGACGGGUGAGUAACACGUGGGUAACCUCCCAUCAGAGGGGAUAACACUUGGAAACCGGUGCUAAACCGAUACUGAUGGAUGGACCCGCUGUGCAUUAGCUAGUUGGUGAGGUAACGGCUCACCAAGGCCACGAUGCAUAGCGGACCUGAGAGGGGGACCGGCCACACUGGAACUGAGACACGGCCCAGACUCCUACGGGAGGCAGUAGUGGGGAAUAUUCGGCAAUGGACGAAAGUCUGACGGAGCAACGCCGCGUGAGUGAAGAAGGUUUUCGGAUCGUAAAGCUCUGUUGGUAGAGAAGCGUUAUUUAACCAGAAAGCCACGGCUAACUACGUGCCAGCAGCCGCGGUAAUUC
rnacentral:rRNA from 1 species